rnacentral:rRNA from 1 species
ACGAACGCUGGCGGCAUGCUUAACCCAUGCAAGUCGAACGGAAAGGCCCUGCUUUUGUGGGGUGCUCGAGUGGCGAACGGGUGAGUAACACGUGAGUAACCUGCCCUUGACUUUGGGAUAACUUCAGGAAACUGGGGCUAAUACCGGAUAGGAGCUCCUGCUGCAUGGUGGGGGUUGGAAAGUUUCGGCGGUUGGGGAUGGACUCGCGGCUUAUCAGCUUGUUGGUGGGGUAGUGGCUUACCAAGGCUUUGACGGGUAGCCGGCCUGAGAGGGUGACCGGCCACAUUGGGACUGAGAUACGGCCCAGACUCCUACGGGAGGCAGCAGUGGGGAAUAUUGCACAAUGGGCGGAAGCCUGGUGCAGCAACGCCGCGUGCGGGAUGACGGCCUUCGGGUUGUAAACCGCUUUCGCCUGUGACGAAGCGUGAGUGACGGUAAUGGGUAAAGAAGCACCGGCUAACUACGUG